rnacentral:rRNA from 1 species
UACGGAGGGUGCGAGCGUUGUCCGGAAUCAUUGGGCGUAAAGGGCGCGUAGGUGGCCUGGCAAGCGUGCGGUGAAAGCUCGGGGCUCAACCCCGAGUCGGCCGUGCGAACUGCUAUGGCUCGAGCACUGUAGAGGCAGGCGGAAUUCCGGGUGUAGCGGUGGAAUGCGCAGAUAUCAGGAGGAACACCAAUAGCGAAGGCAGCUCGCUGGGACGAUACUGACGCUAAGGCGCGAAAGCGUGGGGAGCGAACAGG